AGCCUUCUGUAUCCGUGCUGAGAUUUCGUCACACACAAACCACAAGGGCUGAGAGACUUCUGAGAUAAGUGAAGCG
rnacentral:pre_miRNA from 1 species